UGGGGAAUAUUGCACAAUGGCGGGAACUCUGAUGCAGCGACGCCGCGUGCGUGAUGAAGGAAUUCGUUUCGUAAAACUCUGUUCUAUGGGAAGAAAAGGACUGUACCAUAGGAGAAAGCUCCGGCUAAAUACGUGCCAGCAGCCGCGGUAAUACGUAUGGAGCGAGCGUUGUCCGGAAUUAUUGGGCGUAAAGGGUGCGCAGGCGGCUUUACAAGUUGGAUGUGAAAUAUUGUGGCUCAACCACAAACGUGCAUCCAAAACUGCAAAGCUUGAGUUGAGGAGAGGUAAGUGGAAUUCCUGGUGUAGCGGUGGAAUGCGUAGAUAUCAGGAGGAAUACCGGUGGCGAAGGAGACUUACUGGACUAAAACUGACGCUCAGGCACGAAAGCGUGGGGAGCAAGCAGG
rnacentral:rRNA from 1 species